GAUGAAGAACGUAGCGAAAUGCGAAAAGUAAUGCGAAUUGCAGAAUUCAGCGAGUCAUCGAGUUUUUGAACGCACAUUGCGCCCGCCGGUAUUCCGGCGGGCAUGCCUGUCCGAGCGUCGUUUCAACCCUCGAGCCCCCGUGGCCCGGCGUUGGGGAUCUGCCCAGGCAGUCCCCGAAAACCAGUGGCGGACCCGUUACAGGCCCUUCCCUUGCGUAGUAGCAUUCGCCUCGCAUCGGGAGCCGGCGGGCUUCCAGCCUCUAAACCCCCAUCAAGUCCGCCCCGGCGGCACCAAGGUUGACCUCGGAUCAGGUAGGAAUACCCGCUGAACUUAAGCAUAUCAAUAAGCGGAGGA
rnacentral:misc_RNA from 1 species